GGGGGGGGGGGGGGGGGGGGGGGGGGGGGGGGGGGUGGGGGGAGGGGGGGGGAGGAGGAGGGGCAAACGGGGGAGGAACGCGUGAGAAGGCUACCUUACAAUCUGGGAUAAAAUCCCGGAGUCUUUCUAAACUGGAUGUUCCGACAAAUAGUAUAGAAUAAAAGAUUAAAUGUCGUUGUAAGAUGUGCUCGCGUAGGAUUAGGUAGUUGGUGAGGUAAAAGCUACACCAAGCCGAAGAUCCUUAGCUGGUCUGAGAGGAUGAUCAGCCACACUGGGACUGAGACACGGCCCAGACGCUUUCGAGCGGCAGCAGUGAGGAAUUUUGGACAAUGGGCGAAAGCCUGAUCCAGCCAUAUCGCAUGAGGGAAGAAGGCUCAAUUGGUUGUAAAGCUCUGAUUUGAUUGAAGAUUAUGACAUAAGAUCAAAGAAUAGUCCCGGCUAACUUCGUG
rnacentral:rRNA from 1 species